GGGCCCGCACAAGCGGUGGAGCAUGUGGUUUAAUUCGAUGAUACGCGAGGAACCUUACCAGGGCUUAAAUGUAGUAUGACCGGUCUAGAAAUAGACCUUCUCUUCGGAGCAGAUUACAAGGUGCUGCAUGGUUGUCGUCAGCUCGUGCCGUGAGGUGUUAGGUUAAGUCCUGCAACGAGCGCAACCCCUAUUCUUAGUUGCCAGCGGUUCGGCCGGGGACUCUAAGAAGACUGCCAGCGCAAGCUGAGAGGAAGGUGGGGAUGACGUCAAAUCAUCACGGCCUUACGUCCUGGGCUACACACGUGCUACAAUGGUAGAGACAGAGGGCAGCCACCUGGUGACAGGGAGCGAA
rnacentral:rRNA from 1 species